rnacentral:rRNA from 1 species
GCGGCGGAUGGGUGAGUAUCACGUGGGCAACCUGCCUGUAAGAUCGGGAUAACUCGCGGAAACGUGAGCUAAUACCGGAUGAAGUCUUACGCCACCUGGCGUAAGGAUGAAAGAUGGCCUUUGUGCUAUCACUUACAGAUGGGCCCGCGGCGCAUUAGUUAGUUGGUGGGGUAAUGGCCUACCAAGGCGACGAUGCGUAGCCGACCUGAGAGGGUGAUCGGCCACACUGGGACUGAGACACGGCCCAGACUCCUACGGGAGGCAGCAGUAGGGAAUCUUCCGCAAUGGACGAAAGUCUGACGGAGCAACGCCGCGUGAGUGAUGAAGGUCUUCGGAUCGUAAAACUCUGUUGUCAGGGAAGAACAAGUGACGUUCGAAUAGGGCGUGACCUUGACGGUACCUGACCAGAAAGCCCCGGCUAACUACGUGCCAGCAGCCGCGGUAAUACGUAGGGGGCAAGCGUUGUCCGGAAUUAUUGGGCGUAAAGCGCGCGCAGGCGGUCCUUUAAGUCUGAUGUGAAAGCCCACG